rnacentral:rRNA from 1 species
UGGGGAAUAUUGCACAAUGGGCGCAAGCCUGAUGCAGCCAUGCCGCGUGUGUGAAGAAGGCCUUCGGGUUGUAAAGCACUUUCAGCGGGGAGGAAGGCGUUAAGGUUAAUAACCUUGGCGAUUGACGUUACCCGCAGAAGAAGCACCGGCUAACUCCGUGCCAGCAGCCGCGGUAAUACGGAGGGUGCAAGCGUUAAUCGGAAUUACUGGGCGUAAAGCGCACGCAGGCGGUCUGUCAAGUCGGAUGUGAAAUCCCCGGGCUCAACCUGGGAACUGCAUUCGAAACUGGCAGGCUAGAGUCUUGUAGAGGGGGGUAGAAUUCCAGGUGUAGCGGUGAAAUGCGUAGAGAUCUGGAGGAAGACCGGUGGCGAAGGAGGCCCCCUGGACAAAGACUGACGCUCAGGUGCGAAAGCGUGGGGAGCAAACAGG